ensembl:snoRNA SNORA71 Small nucleolar RNA SNORA71
CCCUGCAUUCAAAAGCGAUCAUGGGCUGCCUGUGCUCUGGUCAAUUGAUAAUGCAGGGAGAGGAAUUGUUGAAAGUGGCUUCCCGUAUUUGGAGGGUCCACACCUGUCCCUUCCAAAUGCUGACGCUUUCACACA